GCUGGGCGUGGUGGCGCAUGCCUGUAAUCCCAGCUACUUGGGAGGCUGAGGCAUGAUAAUUGCUUGAACCCAGGAGGCAGAGGUUGCAGUGAGCUGAGAUGGUGCCACUGCACUCCAGCCUGGGCAACACAGCGAGAUUCUGUCUCAA
rnacentral:SRP_RNA from 1 species